AGCGAACGCUGGCGGCAGGCUUAACACAUGCAAGUCGAACGGAUCCUUCGGGAUUAGUGGCGGACGGGUGAGUAACACGUGGGAAUGUGCCUUUAGGUACGGAACAACUCAGGGAAACUUGAGCUAAUACCGUAUGUGCCCUUCGGGGGAAAGAUUUAUCGCCUUUAGAGCAGCCCGCGUCUGAUUAGCUAGUUGGUAGGGUAAAGGCCUACCAAGGCGACGAUCAGUAGCUGGUCUGAGAGGAUGAUCAGCCACAUUGGGACUGAGCACACGGCCCAAACUCCUACGGGAGGCAGCAGUGGGGAAUCUUGCGCAAUGGGCGAAAGCCUGACGCAGCCAUGCCGCGUGAAUGAUGAAGGUCUUAGGAUUGUAAAAUUCUUUCACCGGGGACGAUAAUGACGGUACCCGGAGAAGAAGCCCCGGCUAACUACGUGCCAGCCGCCGCCGUAAAAC
rnacentral:rRNA from 1 species